GGCGUCUUACCCAAGUGGCUAAGGGAACGGUCUGCAAAACCGUGAUUGAACAGUUCGAUUCUGUUAGACGCCU
rnacentral:tRNA from 2 species